rnacentral:rRNA from 1 species
GACGAACGCUGGCGGCGUGCUUAAUACAUGCAAGUCGAACGGAAAGGCCAUGAUCUUGCGGGGCGCUCGAGUGGCGAACGGGUGAGUAAAACGCGAGUAACCCGUCCCUGACUUUGGGAUAACUCUAGGAAACUGGGGCUAAUAUCGGAUAGGAGCUCUUGCUGCACGGUGGGGGUUGGUAAGUUUCGGCGGUUGGGGAUGGAAUCGCGGCUUAUCAGCUUGUUGGUGGGGUAGUGGCUUACCAAGGUUUUGACGGGUAGCCGGCCUGAGAGGGUGACCAGCCACAUUGGGACUGAGAUACGGCCCAGACUCCUACGGGAGGCAGCAGUGGAGAAUAUUGCACAGUGGGCGGAAGCCUGAUGCGGCAACGCCGCGUGCGGAAUGACGUCCUUCUGGUUGUAAACCGCUUUCGCCUGUAACGAAGCGUGAGUGACGGUAAUGAGUAAAAAAGCACCGGCUAACUACGUG